AGGGCGCACAGUCAGUGGGGGUAGACGCGAAACCAAGUGAUCUACACUUGGCCAGGAUGAAGUCCCGGUAACACGGGAUGGAGGUCCGCACCAAUAAGCGUUGAAAAGCUUCUGGAUGAGCCGAGUGUAGGAGUGAAAGGCCAAUCAAACUUGGAGAUAGCUCGUACUCCCCGAAAGGCAUUUAGGUGCCGCGUCGGAUGGUCACCGUGAGAGGUAGAGCGACCGAUAGGACAAGAGGGCUUCACCGCCUAUCGAGUCCUGACGAACUCCGAAUGCUCACGGUCUGCAGUCCGGCAGUAAGGGGGCGGGUGCUAAGGUCCGUCCCCGAGAGGAGAAGAAUCCAGACCGCCGUCUAAGGUCCCGGAGUUCUGCCUGAGUUAGUCUAACGAAGUCUGGUCCCUAUGACAGCUAGGAUGUUGGCUUGGAAGCAGCCAUUCAUUCAAAGAGUGCGUAACAGCUCACUAGUCGAGGGUCCGGGCAUGGAUAAUAAUCGGGUAUAAGGCAGACACCGAAGGCGCGGGAUAGCAAUUAUAAAAGUAUCGGUAGGGGAGCAUACUCACAGCGUCGAAUGGUGUACGUAAGUUAUCCUGGAGCGGUGAGUAAAGCAAAUGUAGGAAUAAGUAACGAUAAGGAGGGUUAGAUUCCCUCCCGCUGUAAGACCAAGGUUUCCCGGGCAAUGCCAAUCAGCCCGGGGUCAGUCGGGUCCUAAGUCUAAGCCGAACGGCGAUGGCGAUGGCAGAGACGGUUAAUAUUCCGUCACUGCCGCAUGGGGCGACGUGGAGACGGAGCAGUGAAACCACCGCGGGGCGACGGAAGUCCCCGUUGAAGAGUGUAGGUGUUGAGGAUGGCAGGCAAAUCCACCAUCCGAGCUGAACUUGACAGUACGGAGUCCUCCUCGGAGGAAUCUGAUAGUGUGGGUAAUCAUACUCCCGAGAAAAUCCGCUAAGCUUAACCCAUGCGGCACCCGUACCGCAAACGGACACACGUGGUCGGGUAGAACAUACUAAGGCGUUGAGAGAUUCAUGGUUAAGGAACUAGGCAAAUUGACCCUGUAACUUCGGGAUAAAGGGUCCUCGUGAUGAGCGAGGCGCAGAGAAUAGGUCCAGGCAACUGUUUAACAAAAACACAGGGCUGUGCAAACUCGAAAGAUGAGGUAUACAGCCUGACACCUGCCCGGUGCCGGAAGGUUAAGAGGAGAUGUCACCAGCAAUGGGAAGCAUUGAAUUGAAGCCCCGGUAAACGGCGGCCGUAACUAUAACGGUCCUAAGGUAGCGAAAUUCCUUGUCGGGUAAGUUCCGACCUGCACGAAUGGUGUAAUGAUCCGGACGCUGUCUCAAC
rnacentral:rRNA from 1 species